AUACUUAAUUUACUUAUCAAUUAUCAACCCUUUCCCUCGUUUGUUUCUCCCCAACAAAAUCAAAAGCCCCUUUAUCAUUUUUCCCAAUUUCUGCUGCGAGGGUUCCCGAACUAAGGAGGCUUCCCACGAGAUUUCUAUGAGAGAUUCAGUUAUUCCAUGAAGAAUGAUUGACAAAGUGAAAAUUAUGGGGGUCACUGGGUCAUUUCAACCGAGUUAGGGUACAAUAAGAAUCUGGUGCACAAGUGGACUGAUGUUGAUCCUGAUUUGUUAUCUGUUCGAGACAUUAGCGAAGAGUUUACCUCUAAGUUAGGGUUUAAUGAAGUUAAGCAGUGUUGGUGAUAGGCCCAUCCGGUAAGUAUUAUAUAGUUGAUAAUGAUGAUGGAAUGAGGUCAUUAAAGUGUCUUAUUUCUUCUCAAUUUAGUGUUAUUAAUUUCUUUGCUGUUGAGGAUUAUGAGCUUGACCUGACUGCAUUUGCACUCAAUAUUAUACAUCACAAAGAAAAUUAUGAUGUAGAUGUUGCGACUGUUGAUGAGUGCGAGCUUGACCUGACUUCCUUAUCACGUAAUAUCAUACAUGAUAAAAGUAAUUCUGAUGUAGAAGUUGUUGUUAGUGAGUGUGAGGAAGGAGAUAAUUUGUUUGAAUUUGGUGCAUCUGACUUGAUGAGUAUAAUCCUGAGGAACUUGAACUUUUUAACCAAGAGAGGAGGAGAACUUGUAAGUGGUAAUCUAGAAAAAUUUAAAGAAUUGGAGUUGGUCAUGACCUUCAAGGAUAUGAAAGAAGCAAGGCAAUUCAUCAAUUUCUAUGCUGUAAUUAAUAAGAAAGGAUUGAGCGUUAAGCAAAGUGAUUCAACCAGAUCCAGGUAUUUAUCUGCAGAUGGAUGCCCUUCUGUUUGUCUUAUCUCUCAGGAUAGAAACACCCAGGCAGUUAAAAUUAAAACUUUAAAGUCAAAGCACACUUGUGAUGAUGCUUUUAAGAACAAAAGAGCUGAUUCAGCUACAUUAGCUCAUUACUUCAAGAAUAAAGUCUAAAACAAUCCCAAGUUUAAAUUUAGUGAAAUGAGGGGGGAACUUGAAAUAAGCUUGAGGCAUAUUCCCAUGAAAUUAAGCAAACUAAUUCUGGCAGUGAUAUUGUUAUAAACAUAUCAAAGGAGGCCUUAUUGGAGGAAAAGAGAAGAUUCUUGAGAAUCUUCAUAUGCUUUCAUCCUUUGAAGCAAGGUUGGAAAAAUGAUUUGAGGCCUUCUAUUGGUUUAGAUUAGACUUUCUCAAAAGGAAGGGUUAGGGGUCAACUGUUGGUUGCUAUUAGCCAAGACUCCAUGAACCAUUUUUACCCAAUAGCAUGGGCUGUGGUGGACAAAGAAAACAGCACGACAUGGACCUGAUUUAUGGAUAUGUUGAAGAGGUCUUUGGACCUUAAAGAUGAUGCUGGAACAACAUUUAUUUCAGAUAUGCAGAAGGGACUGUUAAAUGCUGUGUCGAGUGUAUUGCCAGAAGCACAUCACAGGUGUUCUGGCAAAUUGGUUUAAAAAAUGGAGGAGUGAUGAAAUAAAAAAAUCAAUAUGGUGGUGUUCUUGGAACACUUAUGAGGAGGAAUUUGAAGACCAGUUGAUAAAAUUAGGAGAUUUGUCUGAAGAUGCUACAAAGGAUAUAUUACAUUACCCACCAUUGGUGCAGAGCUUUCUUUGAUACACAAUGUAAGAAUAUGAUGGUGGAUAAUAACUUUACUGAAUCAUUCAACGCAUGAAUUUUGGAGGCUAGAAGCAAGCCUAUCAUCAAAAUGCUUGAAGAAAUAAGGAUCAAGGUAAUGAAAAUGUUGGCGAACAAUGAAGCUAAAGUGAAGACUUGGAAUGCAGACUACAGUCCACAAGCUAUGAAACUAUAUAGUGAUUACAGUAAAAUUUCCUCACAUUGCAAUAUACACUUUAAUGGUGAUCAUGGAUAUGAAUUUUCAGAAAGUGAAGAUAGACACACUGUAAAUCUGGAGAGGAAGAGAUGCACAUGUAGAAUAUGGGACUUGGGUGGAAAAGAUGCAGCCAUUGAGGGGUCAAAAAUACUAGAAAUUUGAUCCUUCUCAAGACAUGGAGCCACCUGAUGUUGUGAAAACUGUUGGCAGACCCAAAGUUAAGAGAAAUAGGGAGCCAGAUGAGGCAAGGAAGAAAAAAAGGAGAAUGGAGUCAAUCAAGAAAAGGGACUCAAAUUUUUUGCAGCAAUUGUGGUGAGCCUAACCACAAUGCAAGGGGUGUUUCAAGGUACAAAUUACAGUAUUUUGCAUUUAUUAGAUUGCAUUGAUUAGAUUCAGUUUAGGGGAGAUCACACAUGCAACUCAGUGCCAACUAAGUUGCCUUUCUUACCAAACAAAGAAACAUGGAUGGGGAAGGCAGCCAUAACAUCCAAUCAGUUGCAAGAACAAGUCAGAAAAAAGAGAGUGAAGAAGAUGGGGAUAAAGGGUAUCCGAUAUAGAUAUAGUUGUUGGAUAGUUAAUAAUUUAUGAAGACUAGUAUUUGGUAGUUGGACAGUUAUGCUAGUCUUUUGACUUAGCCAUCCGGUGUUUGAUUACAUUUAGUAUUUUUUUUGGCAUUGAUUGAGCACCUGAUAGAUAGCCUUUUGGAAUGAUAUUUAUUUGUCUUGGUGAAUUUGAAGUUUGUGGACUCUUUUAUAGAUUGGAAUUGCUAGAAUUGUGUAGUGAAGUUUGUGGCCUCUGUUAUAAUCAA